AUGGGGGAGCUGCGGGCAGCGUCCCAGAAGCGGACCCGGAAGUUCGGCGGCGGGUCCCGCUGCUGCUGCUGCUUGUCCUGCCCUUGCUGCUGCCCCCUGCCCCGUCCCCCCUCGCCCCGGACCAGGGGUCUCCAUGGCAGCAACAGCAGCAGCUACCGCCGCCUCGCCGCCAAUUUCGAGGAGAUCCUGAGGCAGCGGCUCCGAACCCGGCUCGGCCCUGCGUGGUGUCCCCCCUCCAGCAAAAACGAGAUAACUGCAAUCUCAGCACAGAGAAAAGUGUCACAGAGAGCUGAGGAUCUUAUGCUAACUCCGAAACACAAACAGAAAAUGAAAGGGGAUACCGUGAACGUGCGCCGAAGUGUUCGGGUGAAAACCAAGGUCCCCUGGAUGCCCCCCGGCAAAACAUCCAUCCGAGAGUCUGCCUACAAAUGGGAGGGACCAACCCAUCGCUUGGAAAUUACUCCUCCAGAUUCAGAAAAACUGCUCUCUGUGCUGCGUCUGAGUGACCUCUCUACAGAUGAGGAGGAUGCUAUUCACAGCAAAAUGAACAAAUAUGAGAAGAAGAUAGAUAGCCUGAUGAAUGUAGUGGGGACACUGAAGAAUGAGGCCAAGAUACAGAAGCGGGAGGAACAACAGCAAAUGGCAAAGCGUCUCCUCGAAGAGCAGAAGGAUGAGCUAGAUGAAGUCACACAGGAGCUGGUGGAAACAGAACAUGAGAAUACCUUGCUCCGACGUAACAUUGAGCGCAUAAAGGAGGAGAAAGAUCUUACUUUAAUGCAGAAGAGGCACUUGCAGCAUGAGAAAGAGUGUUUGAUGUCCAAGUUAGUUGAGGCGGAGAUGGAUGGAGCUGCAGCAGCCAAACAGAUUCAUGCGCUGAAGGAUACGAUUGGGAGACUCAAAAAUGAGAAACACAUGACCAGCUCAGACGUUAAUACGCUGACAAGGCAAAAAGAGCUGCUGCUACAGAAAUUAAGCACUUUUGAAGAAACCAAUAGGACACUCCGGGAUCUACUUAAAGAACAGCACAACCGGGAGAAAGAUGCACAGAAAUUGAUGGAGCAGCAGGGGUUGCUGCUAAAAAGGCUGUCUGACUCGGAUGCAGAGAAAGCGAAUCUGAAGAUGAGGCUACAGGAGAAAGAGAAGGAGGUGGAAGAGCUCAUCAGUCAAAUACAGACAGAAAAGGAUCAAGCAAAGACAGCGUGCGAACUCUCCAAAUCCAUGGAAGCUGUGAGGGGUCAUUUACAGGCUCAGCUGCGAAAUAAAGAAGCUGAAAAUAACCGUCUGGCUAUUCAGAUCCGGAAUCUGGAGCGCAGUGGGGCUCAGCAUAAGGGGGAGGUGGAACAUAUCAUGGAACAGCUAAAAGAGCUGAAGCAGAAGGGGGAGCGUGAUAAGGAGGCCCUGAAGAAAGCCAUCCGUGCACAGAAAGAGCGGGCAGAGCGCAGUGAGGAAUAUGCAGAGCAGCUGAACGUCCAGCUAGCAGAAAAGGACAAUUAUGUUACUGAGGCACUGUCCACUCUGGAGUCCUGGAGGAGCCGCUACAACAAAGUAGUGAAGGACAAGACUGACCUGGAGCUUGAGAUUGUUAUGCUGAACAGCCGUAUUACAGACUUGUUGGAGCAACAGACCUCCAUGGAGGACAAAAUGCGGGAAGACAGAGAUGCUCUGGUGGAUAAACUGCACCGGCAGGCCACAGAGAGCACAUCUUUCAAAAUGGAGAAUGAAAGGCUGAAGGCUACCAUGGUGCCAGUGGAGGAGAAGCUGAACCAAGCUCAGAUGGAGGUGCAGCAGCUCAAGGUAUCUCUCAGGAACUAUGAAGGGCUGAUUGAAACCUACAAGUCUCAGGUGUUGAGAACCCGAAUGGAAGCCGAUGAGGUGACUGUGAAACUCGAGCUUUGUGACAAAGAGAAUAAGACGCUAAAAGAUGAAAUGAACAAGGAGAUUGAGUUGGCUCGGAAGCAGUUCCAGAGACAGCUUGCUGAACUAGAAAAGCUGCCCGAGAUCCUGAAGAUCACGGAAACAAAGCUGGCAGAAUGUCAGGAUCAGCUGCAGAGUUAUGAAAAGAAGAACAUGGACCUUUCUGCUAUGAUUACAGAUCUUCGUCAGCGGAUUGAGCUCCAGGGAGACAAAAUGGAAAUGACAAGAGAGAAGUAUCAAUCUGCCCAGGAGGAGAACAAGCAGCUGAUCUUGAAGCUAGAGGAACUGGAGAGGAAACUAGAGACAACGGGUGCACAGAACAUAGAGUUCCUUCAGAUCAUAGCUAAAAGGGAGGAGUCUAUCCAUCAAUCCCAGCUGCGAUUGGAGGAGAAAACCCGUGAGUGUAGCUCCUUGGCUCGGCAGCUGGAGAUGGCCAUUGAAGAUGCUAAAAGACAGGUGGAACAAACGAGGGACCGAGCAGCAUCUAGAGAGAGGGCAGCCCAGUCCAAGAUGUUGGAGUUGGAGACCCAGCUGAGCCGGACGAAAACAGAACUAAACCAGCUGCGUCGGAGCAAAGAAGACUCAGAGCGCCGAUAUCAAAGCCGUCUACAGGACUUAAAGGAUCGCCUGGAGCAGUCUGAAAGCACCAACCGAAGCAUGCAAAACUAUGUCCAGUUCCUCAAGUCCUCUUACGCCAAUGUCUUUGGAGAAAGUGCCUUAAUGAGCUCACCUAUCCGUUCCCGAUCUCCUCCAUGAUAAUAGUUCCUUCCCUGUCCCUCUGCUAUUGAGAGGUACAAAAGGGGGGGCCUGAUUUCAAAGCCAUAUCUUGUCCAGAAAACUGUUUGGGAUUUCAGAGUCCAUGUAAAGAGAAGUCUUCCUGUCAUUCUCAUUGUCUGGGUGAGAUGGAACUGCAGCGAUGUACAACAGAAAAGUGGGAUUGUUUUCUAUUUGGAGAUUGGCACUGCAUCAUCAGCCAUGCCCCAAAACAUCUGGGUUGAAGUAUGUGGGGAAUGCUUUCCCUUUCAUCUCCUAAUCCCCCAGUGGUUACUUCUCUUGUAACUAACCUGGUGGGCUUUUUAAUUAAUCAUAUUCGCUAUUUUUUAUUUUUGUAAGAGUUCCGUCUCUUCCUUUUCGCUCUUCCUACCUUAUGUUCUUUUCUCACAUGGCAGAGAUCAUGUUUGUUUUUAACUCUCACAUAUUGUGUUGAUACAGCUGGCCAAUGGGGAUAUUAGGAGAUAGUGCCACCAGUACAAGUGUGAACUCAAUAGUGAUAACUAACUGACUGGAAUCCAUGCUGAGAAUAGGUUACCUCCUGAUCAGCCACCCUUUUUUUAAACAAUUUUGUACUGGGAAACAAUGAAAUUGUAUCUUCUGAAGGUUUCUCAUCUGAUUCAUGAAUACUGUCAAAUCCUUUAUUAUUUCUUGAGUGUGUGGUUGGUGUGUGUUAAUGCUUCUAAUCUGCAUAUUUUCUGGAUGCCCUUUUCCUCCCAACAGCCUGAUUCUGCAUUCCUUGCACAUCCUAGGGUCUGAGUCAAAGCCACUUGAAGUCAAUGGAAAGAUUCCCAUUAAUUUCAGUGGGUCUGGAAUCAGAACCCCAGUCCGAAUACAGUGGGAGUUUUGAGUCAGCUGUAGGAAAAAAUAAAAUAAAAAGACAAACUUGAUGCUUGGCUUAGCCCUCAGAGCCAGCCUGCACAUACUCCUGUGAUGUGAGGUCAUCUCUGGAAUGUGAAGGAAUGUCAAGGUCCUGUGGGCUCUACUGUGCUCUCCAACGACGUAUCACGGCAAGCAUGGAGCCUGCUUAGAUCACUGUGGCAGUUAUGAGCACUGUAAACACCACGCGCAUUAUCCUGCAGUAUAUGCAGCACCAGAAACUUCAAAAGCAGGUGAGGAGGCAACGGCAGUGCAGUGACGAGAGUGAUUAGGACAUGAACACAGAGUUCUCUCAAAGCACAGGUUCCUGGCAAUUUGGACAUCAUGGUGCUGAUGGGGCAGGUUCAUGCUGUGGAAUGCCAAUUCUGGGCCUGGGAAACAAGCACAGACUGUUGGGACCCGCAUAGUGUUGAAGGUCUGAGAUUCCCAGUGGUUGUGAAACUUUCACAUGCGUAAGGACACUUUAAUGGAGUUUUGUGACUUGCUUUCCCCCAACCUGAAGUGCAAGAAUACCAAGGUGAGAGCAGCCCUCACAGUUCACAAGUGAGUGGCAAUAGCCCUCUGGAAGCUUGCAAUGCCAGACAGCUAUCGGUCAGUCAGGAAUCAAUUUGGAGUGGGCAGAUCUACUGGGGGGUUGCUGUGAACCAAGUAGCCAAUGCUAUCACUGAGCUGUUGCUAUCAAGGAUAGUGACUCUGGGAAACGUGCAGAUCAUAGGGAAUCCCAUUGCAGCAAAGCCAUCCACUAACUGUGGUGGGGCGAUAGAUGGACUGCAUAUCCCUAUCUUGGGACCAAACCACCAAGGUAGCCAGUACAUAAACUGCAAGGAGUACUUUUCAAUGGUGCUGCAAGCACUUGUGGAUCACAAGGGACGUUUCACCAACAUCAACGUGGGAUGGCUGGGAAAGGUACAUGACGUUCGCAUCUCUGGAACUCUGGUCUGUUUCAAAAGCUGCAGGAAGGGGCUUUCUUCCCAGACCAGAAAAUAACCGUUGAGGAUGUUCAAAUGCCUAUAGUUAUCCUUGGGGACCCAGCCUACCCCUUAAUGCCAUGGCUCAUGAUGCCAUACACAGGCAUUCUGGACAGUAGUCAAGAGCUGUUCAACUGGUAGAAUGUGCAUUUGGAUGUUUAAAAGCACGUUGGCGCAGUUUACUGACUCGGAUAGACCUCAGCGAAACCAAUAUUCCCAUUGUUAUUACUGCUUGCUGUGUGCUCCACAAUAUCUGUGAGAGUAAGGGGGAGACCUUUAUGGUGGGGUAGGAGAUUGAGGCAAAUCGCUUGGCCGCUGAUUACGUGCAGCCAGACACCAGCGCAGUUAGAAGAGCACAGCAGGGUGUGCUGCGCAUCAGAGAAGCUUUGAAAACCAGUUUCAUCACUGGCCAGGCUACAGUGUGAAAGUUCUGUUUUUCUCCUUGAUGAAAACCCGCCCCCGUGGUUCACUCUACUUCCCUGUAGGCCAACUGCCCUCCCCUCCCCCCUUUGAUCUCCACUUGCAGAGGCAAUAAAGUCAUUGUUUCAAA